rnacentral:lncRNA from 1 species
CCUGACCUUUCUUUGGAUAAUCUCUUUCAUUCCACCUCGAAUCUUUGCUCCAAAGAAAGAGGCAGCCUAGGGUAGGAAAGGUGGGGGCCUCUGUGUUGGAGAACUGCCUGAUUCCAUAGUGAAAUCAGUAUAGCCCACAGGGAUACCGUUUAAGAUAAUGAUAGAUGUAAAGAUAGAUGAAGUAGAGGUGGAGAGCAUUUGUGGAGGGGAAGGGGAAGCUAGCCAAAAAAGGAUCUUUUGCGAAAUUUGGAGUAUUUGAUAAUUAAAUCCAUACUAUAUUAAAUCAAAAAUGUCAUUACUACUUACAUUAGUGAAUAGCAUUUUAACUUCAAUUUUCUGUGUAGUAUUACUUUAUGUUCUUGAC